UUUUUCCCAAUUCCAAAGGGGGUUUUUCCCAAUCCCAAAGUUCAUUUUUCCCCAGUCCCAAAGUUCCUUUUCCCCAAUUUCACGGCUCCUGAACUUCCACCCUUUCCACCUGUCCCAGGUGGGUUCAUUCCUCUGAGGAAUUCCUUGGGAAAACCAGGAAUUCCAGCCAGGAAUCAGCUCCUGAACAUUCCAAGCUCCAGGAAUUCACCCCGAGCUGGCAGACAACAGAUAAAUUCCAUGUGGGAAGUUGGAAUUCCCAAAGAAAUUCCUCUUCUCUCCAAUGGGAUCAAAUUCCCGUUAAAUCCAUCGCUGGGGUGACAGAGGACACCUGAUCCCACAAUUCCAGCAAACCUGAGCCCAGCUUUAGGGAAAAAUCCCAAAUUUCAGCCCUGCUGGGACUGGGGUCACACAGCUAAAACCAGGCCUAACCUGGAAUGAAGGAUUCCUAAUUAGGAAAUUCUCAUUAAUGAUGUUUAUUUAAUCCCAGCUCCAUAUUUAGGACCUUUGUUCACCUUUCAGGACCUCCCUGGGCAGAAUUCCCCAAAUUUGGGGUUUCUACCUGGGUUUAUCCGUAGGGAAUGAGAAUUCCUGCCAGAAUUCCCGAGUUAAGAUCCAGCCUCAGAAUUCUGGGAUCAUUUAGGAAUCAAAACCCAAGGAAUCCCCAAUGUCCCUGAGUGCCACAUCCAGGAAUUCCAGGGACGCUUCCAGGGAUGGGAAUUCCUCCCUGAGAACCCAAUCCCAGAUUUCAGCUCCUUUUCCAUGGAGAAAUUCCCCUUUUCCAUCCCAAAUUCCUCCCAAUCCCAGAUUCCAGCUCCUUUUCCACAGAGAAAUUCCUCUUGAUUCCCCUUUCCAUCCCAAAAAUUCCUCCCAGUCCCAGAUUUCAGCUCCUUUUCCAUGGAGAAAUUCCCUCUGAUUCCCCCUUUCCAUCCCAAAAUUCCUCCCAAUCCCAGAUUUCCUUUUGCACGGAGAAAUUCCCUUUCCCAUCCCAAAAUUCCUCCCAGUCCCAGAUUUCAGCUCCUUUUCCACAGAGAAAUUCCCUGAUUCCCCCUUUUCAAUCCCAAAAUUCCUCCCAUUCCCAGAUUUCCUUUUGCACAGAGAAAUUCCCUUUCCCAUCCCAAAAUACUUUUCCCAAUCCCAGAUUUCAGCCCCUUUUCCACAGAGAAAUUUCCCCUGAUUCUACUUUUCCAUCCCAAAAUUCCUCCCAUUCCCAGAUUUCAGCUCAUUUUCCAUGGAGAAAUUCCCUCUGAUUCCCCCUUUUCCAUCCCAAAAUUCCUCCCAAUCCCAGAUUUCCUUUUGCAUGGAGAAAUUCCCUUUCCCAUCCCAAAAUAUUCCUCCCAAUCCCAGAUUUCAGCCCCUUUUCCACAGCAAAAUUCCUCCUGAUUCCCCUUUCCAUCCCAAAAUUCUCUCCCCUCAUCCCUAAAAAACUUGAAAUCCCUUUUUCCCUGUUUUGCACUAAACCAGGCUUAAGAUUCCUAGCUAAAAUUCCUGGAUAAUGCAGGAAGUCAGGGAAAAAUGAAUUAGUUCAUAAUUAAAGUUAGGAACGGUUCAUAAUUAAAAAUAUUCAGAAUUAAAAUUAUAAUUCCUGUAAAAUGAUUUCCCAAGUGGGGAGCUUGGAAGGAGCUGCCCUAAAUCCACACUGGAACGAGCUGGGUUUGCCCUUGGAGGUUGAAAUUCCCAGGAAAAGCAGGAAAGGAGGAAGCAGAGGGUGAUUAAUUAAUUAAAGGUGUUAAUGAGUAACUGCUCCGGGAGGCCCUGGAGGAAAUGGGGGAGGAAUUCUGGAAAUUGGAAUUUUAACGAGGCCGUAAAUCCGUGGGAUUGGGGCCCAUCCCCCUCUUUAAACUUGGAAUUGGGGAAAUAAAUCCUGAUUUUUAAAAAAAGGAGAAAAUUCCAAUGGGAAUUGUGAUCUUAAAAAAAAAAAAAAAAAAGAGGAAAA